UACGUAGGGCGCGAGCGUUGUCCGGAAUUAUUGGGCGUAAAGAGCUCGUAGGCGGCCUGUUGCGUCUGCUGUGAAAUCCCGGGGCUUAACCCCGGGCGUGCAGUGGAUACGGGCAGGCUGGAGGCAGGCAGGGGAGAAUGGAAUUCCCGGUGUAGCGGUGAAAUGCGCAGAUAUCGGGAAGAACACCGAUGGCGAAGGCAGUUCUCUGGGCCGUAACUGACGCUGAGGAGCGAAAGCGUGGGGAGCGAACAGG
rnacentral:rRNA from 1 species